GAUUUUCCAGGCAAAAGUACUGGAGUGGGGUGCCAUUGCCUUCUCCAUGUCCUAGCUAUUGUAAAUAGUGUUGCAGUGAAUAUUGGGGUACAUGUGUCUUUUUCAAUUAUGGCUUCCUCAGGGUAUAUGCCCAGUAGUGGGAUUGUUAGGCCAUAUGGUAGUUUUAUUUGGUGGGAAUGUAAAUUGAUAUAGCCGUUAUGGAGCAUGGUAUAGAGAUUCCUUAAAAAACUAGAGCUGAGAUUCUUGAUGGGAGUGAGGCAGGUUGUCAGCUUUUGAGGCAAAAGAAUGGAGAGCAGCAUCUCACUUUCUCAAAAAGGAGCCCUAGACUUUUGUUGUACUACCCUCUGUGAUUAUGCAUCCAUAUGUCCCAAGGCCAAGACUUGGGUCAACUAGAGAGUUCUGGAAUCUGUAGCUCAGGCUGUUGCAGGGGGAAUCCUAGGCCUCACGCUUUAAGUGCAUGAAGACUGAGUUGCCCUCCUCCACACGUCUUAAGAAGGCCAUUGACUCUGCUUUUCAAAAAUGACUCACUUCAUGCUUUGGACCUGAGGAUGGACAGUGGACUUUUCAGAAGGAACAUCCAAUUCACAGAGCCAUUUGGCUUCUGGAGAGGAAUCAGCAACGUGUUUUCUCAGGGGUGGUUCAGCAGCUCUGUCCUGUCGUCAAGGAUGGAUGUCCUCACUGUGGUGUCAACGUCUCCAUCUGUGGCCAGCAGAUGGCUGCAGCAGCUGCAAGGACCACAUCCUUUCAUGGCAACUUCCAGGAGCACCUUGAGAGUGGGGGGCUCUCUACAUGGGUGUCUCCUCCCUUAUCAUGAAGGCAGUUGCAUCCUCGCCAUCUGCCAGCACGUCCUUUACAUCUCAUCAGCCAGGACUGGGUCGAGCGGCCAUCUCCAGCCAGAAGAGCAGUUAGGAAAAUUGGUAACUGGUGCUUCCUGCCACCAGAAUGGAAGCAGACAUACCAAGGGAAAUAGAUCUGUCAAUGGCUGGCACAUGGUCAGCCAAGAGCCAUUUUUAAUUCGAGGUCUUUUGAGCUUCUGUAUAAAUUUUAAGAUUAUUUAUUCUAAUUCUGUGGAAAAUGUCAUGGGUAUUUUGAUAGGGAUCGCAUUAAAUUUGCAGAUUGUUUUGGGUAGUAUGGCUGUGUUAACAAUAGUAAUCCUUCAAAUACAAGAGCAUGAGUUAUCUUUCCAUUUCUUUAAAUCAUAUUAA
rnacentral:lncRNA from 1 species